rnacentral:lncRNA from 10 species
UUAUAAGCAAAGCAUAUGUGAGGUAAGUACUAUAUUAGGUCAUAUUUAUUUCCUUUUGACCUGAAAACUUAUUGAAUCUUCCUGAAGUUCUUAUUUUAGGUAAAAAUGGGACAAAACAAAACAAUGACAAGCAAAUUCUGUUCUAAAAAGCUUUAAAACUGAUAUCAAAAUUACUCAGCUAGUAACUUACAUGUUUGAGAAUACAAUAUUAUACACCCAUGUUCAUAGCAGCAUUUUUCAUAAUGCAAGAUGGUGGAAGUAGCCAUGUGUCCAUCCAUGGACGAAUGGAAAACAAAAUGUGUUAUAAAUAUAUAACAGAAUCUUUUUCAGACCCAAAAAGGGAGGAAAUUCUGAUACAUGCUACAACAUAGAUGAACUUUAUGUGCAUUAUGCUAAGUAAACUAAGACAGUCACAAAAAGACAUAUUGUAUAACUCCAGUUAUAGGGGGCACCUAGAGUUGUCCAACUCAUAGACAUAUUAAGUAAAAUGGUGACCAGGUGCUGAGGGAAGGGAGGAUUAGAGAGUUAUUACUUAAUGAGUAUAGAGCUUCAAUUUUUCAAGAUGAAAAGAG